rnacentral:tRNA from 1 species
UGGGGAUAUGGCGGAAUUGGUAGACGCUACAGACUUUUAAAAAUAUAAAGAAAGAGUCCAUUAAAAUUAUUUAAUUUUAUGAAAAUUUGUUGGUUUUUUAAACCGUGAGGGUUCAAAUCCCUCUAUCCCCAA